UACUCGAGUGGCGAACGGGUGAGUAACACGUGGGUGAUCUGCCCUGCACUUCGGGAUAAGCUUGGGAAACUGGGUCUAAUACCGGAUAGGAGCCAUCUUUAGUGUGGUGGUUGGAAAGUUUUUUCGGUGUAGGAUGAGCUCGCGGCCUAUCAGCUUGUUGGUGGGGUAAUGGCCUACCAAGGCGGCGACGGGUAGCCGGCCUGAGAGGGUGUACGCCACAUUGGGACUGAGAUACGGCCCAG
rnacentral:rRNA from 1 species